GGAGGAUCCAAGCGUUAUCCGGAAUCAUUGGGUUUAAAGGGUCCGUAGGCGGUUUAAUAAGUCAGUGGUGAAAGCCCAUCGCUCAACGGUGGAACGGCCAUUGAUACUGUUAGACUUGAAUUAUUAGGAAGUAACUAGAAUAUGUAGUGUAGCGGUGAAAUGCUUAGAGAUUACAUGGAAUACCAAUUGCGAAGGCAGGUUACUACUAAUGGAUUGACGCUGAUGGACGAAAGCGUGGGUAGCGAACAGGAUUAGAUACCCUGGUAGUCCACGCCGUAAACGAUGGAUACUAGCUGUUGGGAGUAAUCUCAGUGGCUAAGCGAAAGUGAUAAGUAUCCCACCUGGGGAGUACGUUCGCAAGAAUG
rnacentral:rRNA from 1 species